rnacentral:rRNA from 1 species
UACGUAGGGGGCUAGCGUUGUCCGGAAUCAUUGGGCGUAAAGCGCGCGUAGGCGGCCAGAUAAGUCCGGUGUGAAAGUCACAGGCUCAACCUGUGAAUGCCGCUGGAAACUGUCUGGCUAGAGUCCGGAAGGGGCGAGUGGAAUUCCUGGUGUAGCGGUGAAAUGCGCAGAUAUCAGGAGGAACACCAAUGGCGAAGGCAGCUCGCUGGACCGGAACUGACGCUGAGGCGCGAAAGCGUGGGGAGCAAACAGG